rnacentral:rRNA from 1 species
CCUACGGGAGGCAGCAGUGAGGAAUAUUGGUCAAUGGACGAGAGUCUGAACCAGCCAAGUAGCGUGAAGGAUGACUGCCCUAUGGGUUGUAAACUUCUUUUAUAUGGGAAUAAAAUGUUCCACGUGUGGGAUUUUGUAUGUACCAUAUGAAUAAGGAUCGGCUAAUUCCGUGCCAGCAGCCGCGGUAAUACGGAGGAUCCGAGCGUUAUCCGGAUUUAUUGGGUUUAAAGGGAGCGUAGGCGGAUUGUUAAGUCAGGUGUGAAAGUUUGCGGCUCAACCGUAAAAUUGCCGUUGAAACUGGCAGUCUUGAGUACGGUAGAGGUGGGCGGAAUUCGUGGUGUAGCGGUGAAAUGCUUAGAUAUCACGAAGAACUCCGAUUGCGAAGGCAGUUCACUGGACUGCAACUGACACUGAGGCUCGAAAGUGUGGGUAUCAAACAGGAUUAGAUACCCUGGUAGUC